rnacentral:rRNA from 1 species
GAUGAACGCUGGCGGCGUGCCUAACACAUGCAAGUCGAACGGAGAUUACAGACGGAAGUUUUCGGAUGGAAGACUGUAAUUCUUAGUGGCGGACGGGUGAGUAACGCGUGGGCAACCUGCCCUAUACAGGGGGAUAGCAGCUGGAAACGGCUGGUAAGACCGCAUAAGUCGGUUAAAUCGCAUGAUUUGACCGGGAAAUGAGUAAUCAGGUAUAGGAUGGGCCCGCGUCCGAUUAGCCAGUUGGCAGGGUAAAAGCCUACCAAAGCGACGAUCGGUAGCCGGACUGAGAGGUCGGACGGCCACAUUGGGACUGAGACACGGCCCAAACUCCUACGGGAGGCAGCAGUGGGGGAUAUUGCACAAUGGAGGAAACUCUGAUGCAGCGACGCCGCGUGAGUGAAGAAGUAUUUCGGUAUGUAAAGCUCUAUCAGCAGGGAAG